UACAGAGGCCACGAGCGUUAGGCGGAAUCACUGGGCUUAAAGCGUGUGUAGGUGGAUGGGUAAGUACCUUGUGAAAUCCCACGGCUCAACCGUGGAACUGCUUGGUAUACUGCCUGUCUUGAGGCACUCAGGGGCGAGCGGAACAAAUGGUGGAGCGGUGAAAUGCGUAGAUAUCAUUUGGAACGCCAAUGGUGAAGACAGCUCGCUGGGGGUGUACUGACA
rnacentral:rRNA from 1 species